UCAGGAUGAACGCUAGCUACAGGCUUAACACAUGCAAGUCGAGGGGCAGCAUGUGGUUGCUUGCAACCGAAUGAUGGCGACCGGCGCACGGGUGAGUAACGCGUAUCCAACCUUCCCUAUAGUAGAGGAUAGCCCGGCGAAAGUCGGAUUAAUACUCUAUGUUUUCCAAUGCAGACAUCUAAAAUGGAGCAAAGGUUUACCGCUAUAGGAUGGGGAUGCGUCUGAUUAGAUAGUCGGCGGGGUAACGGCCCACCGAGUCGACGAUCAGUAGGGGUUCUGAGAGGAAGGUCCCCCACAUUGGAACUGAGACACGGUCCAAACUCCUACGGGAGGCAGCAGUGAGGAAUAUUGGUCAAUGGGCGAGAGCCUGAACCAGCCAAGUAGCCGUGCAGGAUGACGGCCCUAUGGGUUGUAAACUGCUUUUAUACAGGGAUAAAGUGACGUACGUGUACGUUUUUGUAGGUACUGUAUGAAUAAGGACCGGCUAAUUCCGUGCCAGCCGCGGC
rnacentral:rRNA from 1 species